ACGAACGCUGGCGGCGUGCCUAAUACAUGCAAGUCGCACGCUUCUUUCCUCCCGAGUGCUUGCACUCACUUGGAAAGAGGAGUGGCGGACGGGUGAGUAACACGUGGGUAACCUACCCAUCAGAGGGGGAUAACACUUGGAAACAGGUGCUAAUACCGCAUAACAGUUUAUGCCGCAUGGCAUAAGAGUGAAAGGCGCUUUCGGGUGUCGCUGAUGGAUGGACCCGCGGUGCAUUAGCUAGUUGGUGAGGUAACGGCUCACCAAGGCCACGAUGCAUAGCCGACCUGAGAGGGUGAUCGGCCACACUGGGACUGAGACACGGCCCAGACUCCUACGGGAGGCAGCAGUAGGGAAUCUUCGGCAAUGGACGAAAGUCUGACCGAGCAACGCCGCGUGAGUGAAGAAGGUGUUCGGAUCGUAAAACUCUGUUGUUAGAGAAGAACAAGGACGUUAGUAACUGAACGUCCCCUGACGGUAUCUAACCAGAAAGCCACGGCUAACUACGUG
rnacentral:rRNA from 1 species